GCUUACGGCCAUACCACGUUGAAAGCACGCCAUCCCGUCCGAUCUGGCAAGUUAAGCAACGUUGGGCCUGGUCAUGCAGGUUAACGCAACCG
rnacentral:rRNA from 1 species